rnacentral:rRNA from 1 species
ACCAUGCAAGUCGAACGAUGAACCUCGCUUGCGGGGGGAUUAGUGGCGAACGGGUGAGUAACACGUGAGUAACCUGCCCUUAACUCUGGGAUAAGCCUUGGAAACGGGGUCUAAUACUGGAUAUUGACUUUACCUCGCAUGGGGUUUGGUUGAAAGAUUUAUUGGUUUUGGAUGGACUCGCGGCCUAUCAGCUUGUUGGUGAGGUAAUGGCUCACCAAGGCGACGACGGGUAGCCGGCCUGAGAGGGUGACCGGCCACACUGGGACUGAGACACGGCCCAGACUCCUACGGGAGGCAGCAGUGGGGAAUAUUGCACAAUGGGCGAAAGCCUGAUGCAGCGACGCCGCGUGAGGGAUGACGGCCUUCGGGUUGUAAACCUCUUUCAGUAGGGAACAAGGCCAGCAUUUUUGUUGGUUGAGGGUACUUGCAGAAGAAGCGCCGGCUAACUACGUGCCAGCAGCCGCGGUAAUACGUAGGGCGCAAGCGUUAUCCGGAAUUAUUGGGCGUAAAGAGCUCGUAGGCGGUUUGUCGCGUCUGCCGUGAAAGUCCGGGGCUCAACUCCGGAUCUGCGGUGGGUACGGGCAGACUAGAGUGAUGUAGGGGAGACUGGAAUUCCUGGUGUAGCGGUGAAAUGCGCAGAUAUCAGGAGGAACACCGAUGGCGAAGGCAGGUCUCUGGGCAUUAACUGACGCUGAGGAGCGAAAGCAUGGGGAGCGAACAGGAUUAGAUACCCUGGUAGUCCAUGCCGUAAACGUUGGGCACUAGGUGUGGGGGACAUUCCACGUUUUCCGCGCCGUAGCUAACGCAUUAAGUGCCCCGCCUGGGGAGUACGGCCGCAAGGCUAAAACUCAAAGGAAUUGACGGGGGCCCGCACAAGCGGCGGAGCAUGCGGAUUAAUUCGAUGCAACGCGAAGAACCUUACCAAGGCUUGACAUGAACUGGAAAUACCUGGAAACAGGUGCCCCGCUUGCGGUCGGUUUACAGGUGGUGCAUGGUUGUCGUCAGCUCGUGUCGUGAGAUGUUGGGUUAAGUCCCGCAACGAGCGCAACCCUCGUUCUAUGUUGCCAGCACGUUAUGGUGGGGACUCAUAGGAGACUGCCGGGGUCAACUCGGAGGAAGGUGAGGACGACGUCAAAUCAUCAUGCCCCUUAUGUCUUGGGCUUCACGCAUGCUACAAUGGCCGGUACAAUGGGUUGCGAUACUGUGAGGUGGAGCUAAUCCCAAAAAGCCGGUCUCAGUUCGGAUUGGGGUCUGCAACUCGACCCCAUGAAGUCGGAGUCGCUAGUAAUCGCAGAUCAGGCAACGCUGCGGUGAAUACGUUCCCGGGC